rnacentral:rRNA from 1 species
GGUUAAGUUAGAAAGGGCGCACGGUGGAUGCCUUGACACUAGGAGUCGAUGAAGGACGGGACUAACGCCGAUAUGCUUCGGGGAGCUGUAAGUAAGCUUUGAUCCGAAGAUUUCCGAAUGGGGAAACCCACCAUACGUAAUGGUAUGGUAUCCUUAUCUGAAUACAUAGGGUAAGGAAGACAGACCCAGGGAACUGAAACAUCUAAGUACCUGGAGGAAGAGAAAGCAAAUGCGAUUUCCUGAGUAGCGGCGAGCGAAACGGAACAUAGCCCAAACCAAGAGGCUUGCCUCUUGGGGUUGUAGGACAUUCUAUACGGAGUUACAAAGGAACGAGGUAGACGAAGCGACCUGGAAAGGUCCGUCGUAGAGGGUAACAACCCCGUAGUCGAAACUUCGUUCUCUCUUGAAUGUAUCCUGAGUACGGCGGAACACGUGAAAUUCCGUCGGAAUCUGGGAGGACCAUCUCCCAAGGCUAAAUACUACCUAGUGAUCGAUAGUGAACCAGUACCGUGAGGGAAAGGUGAAAAGCACCCCGGAAGGGGAGUGAAAGAGAUCCUGAAACCGUGUGCCUACAAAUAGUCAGAGCCCGUUAACGGGUGAUGGCGUGCCUUUUGUAGAAUGAACCGGCGAGUUACGAUCCCGUGCGAGGUUAAGCUGAAGAGGCGGAGCCGCAGCGAAAGCGAGUCUGAAUAGGGCGUUUAGUACGUGGUCGUAGACCCGAAACCAGGUGAUCUACCCAUGUCCAGGGUGAAGUUCAGGUAACACUGAAUGGAGGCCCGAACCCACGCACGUUGAAAAGUGCGGGGAUGAGGUGUGGGUAGCGGAGAAAUUCCAAUCGAACCUGGAGAUAGCUGGUUCUCCCCGAAAUAGCUUUAGGGCUAGCCUUAAGUGUAAGAGUCUUGGAGGUAGAGCACUGAUUGGACUAGGGGUCCUCAUCGGAUUACCGAAUUCAGUCAAACUCCGAAUGCCAAUGACUUAUCCUUAGGAGUCAGACUGCGAGUGAUAAGAUCCGUAGUCAAAAGGGAAACAGCCCAGACCGCCAGCUAAGGUCCCAAAGUGUGUAUUAAGUGGAAAAGGAUGUGGAGUUGCUUAGACAACUAGGAUGUUGGCUUAGAAGCAGCCACCAUUUAAAGAGUGCGUAAUAGCUCACUAGUCGAGUGACUCUGCGCCGAAAAUGUACCGGGGCUAAAUACACCACCGAAGCUGCGGAUUGAUACCGAAUGGUAUCAGUGGUAGGGGAGCGUUCUAAGGACAGUGAAGUCAGACCGUAAGGACUGGUGGAGUGCUUAGAAGUGAGAAUGCCGGUAUGAGUAGCGAAAGACGGGUGAGAAUCCCGUCCACCGAAUGCCUAAGGUUUCCUGAGGAAGGCUCGUCCGCUCAGGGUUAGUCAGGACCUAAGCCGAGGCCGACAGGCGUAGGCGAUGGACAACAGGUUGAUAUUCCUGUACCACCUCUUUAUCGUUUGAGCAAUGGAGGGACGCAGAAGGAUAGAAGAAGCGUGCGAUUGGUUGUGCACGUCCAAGCAGUUAGGCUGAUAAGUAGGCAAAUCCGCUUAUCAUAAAGGCUGAGCUGUGAUGGGGAAGCUCCUUAUGGAGCGAAGUCUUUGAUUCCCCGCUGCCAAGAAAAGCUUCUAGCGAGAUAAAAGGUGCCUGUACCGCAAACCGACACAGGUAGGCGAGGAGAGAAUCCUAAGGUGUGCGAGAGAACUCUGGUUAAGGAACUCGGCAAAAUGACCCCGUAACUUCGGGAGAAGGGGUGCUUUCUUAACGGAAAGCCGCAGUGAAUAGGCCCAAGCGACUGUUUAGCAAAAACACAGCUCUCUGCGAAGCCGUAAGGCGAAGUAUAGGGGGUGACACCUGCCCGGUGCUGGAAGGUUAAGGAGAGGGGUUAGCGUAAGCGAAGCUCUGAACUGAAGCCCCAGUAAACGGCGGCCGUAACUAUAACGGUCCUAAGGUAGCGAAAUUCCUUGUCGGGUAAGUUCCGACCCGCACGAAAGGUGUAACGAUUUGGGCACUGUCUCAACCAGAGACUCGGUGAAAUUAUAGUACCUGUGAAGAUGCAGGUUACCCGCGACAGGACGGAAAGACCCCGUGGAGCUUUACUGUAGCCUGAUAUUGAAUUUUGGUACAGUUUGUACAGGAUAGGCGGGAGCCAUUGAAACCGGAGCGCUAGCUUCGGUGGAGGCGCUGGUGGGAUACCGCCCUGACUGUAUUGAAAUUCUAACCUACGGGUCUUAUCGACCCGGGAGACAGUGUCAGGUGGGCAGUUUGACUGGGGCGGUCGCCUCCUAAAGUGUAACGGAGGCGCCCAAAGGUUCCCUCAGAAUGGUUGGAAAUCAUUCGUAGAGUGCAAAGGCAUAAGGGAGCUUGACUGCGAGACCUACAAGUCGAGCAGGGACGAAAGUCGGGCUUAGUGAUCCGGUGGUUCCGCAUGGAAGGGCCAUCGCUCAACGGAUAAAAGCUACCCCGGGGAUAACAGGCUUAUCUCCCCCAAGAGUCCACAUCGACGGGGAGGUUUGGCACCUCGAUGUCGGCUCAUCGCAUCCUGGGGCUGUAGUCGGUCCCAAGGGUUGGGCUGUUCGCCCAUUAAAGCGGUACGCGAGCUGGGUUCAGAACGUCGUGAGACAGUUCGGUCCCUAUCCGUCGUGGGCGUAGGAAAUUUGAGAGGAGCUGUCCUUAGUACGAGAGGACCGGGAUGGACGCACCGCUGGUGUACCAGUUGUUCUGCCAAGGGCAUAGCUGGGUAGCUAUGUGCGGAAGGGAUAAGUGCUGAAAGCAUCUAAGCAUGAAGCCCCCCUCAAGAUGAGAUUUCCCAUAGCGUAAGCUAGUAAGAUCCCUGAAAGAUGAUCAGGUUGAUAGGUUCGAGGUGGAAGCAUGGUGACAUGUGGAGCUGACGAAUACUAAUAGAUCGAGGACUUAACCAU